rnacentral:rRNA from 1 species
UACGUAGGGGGCGAGCGUUGUCCGGAUUUAUUGGGCGUAAAGAGCUCGUAGGCGGUUCGGUAAGUCGGAUGUGAAAUCUCCACGCUCAACGUGGAGGGGCCAUUCGAUACUGCCGUGACUCGAGUCUGGUAGGGGAGUGUGGAAUUCCCGGUGUAGCGGUGAAAUGCGCAGAGAUCGGGAGGAACACCCGUAGCGAAGGCGGCACUCUGGGCCGGUACUGACGCUGAGGAGCGAAAGCGUGGGGAGCGAACAGG